AUUGAACGCUGCCGGCAGGCCUACCACAUGCAAGUCGAACGAGUGGCGGACGGGUGAGUAAUGGCUGGGAAACUGCCUGAUGGAGGGGGAUAACUACUGGAAAAGGUAGCUAAUACCGCAUACCAUCGGAUGUGCCCAGAUGGGAUUAGCUAGUAGGUGGGGUAAAGGCUCAACUAGGCGACGAUCCCUAGCUGUUCUGAGAGGAUGACAAGCCACACUGGACUUGAGACACGGUCCAGAGGCCUACGGGAGGUAGAAGUGGGGAAUAUUGAACAAUGGGCGCAAGCAUGAUGCAGUAAUGCCGCGUGUAUGAAGAAGGCCUUCGGGUUGGAAAGUACUUCCAGCGGGGAGGCGUUACCCGCAGAAGAAGCACCGGCUAACUCCGUGCCAGCCGCCGCGGUAAUAC
rnacentral:rRNA from 1 species